rnacentral:rRNA from 1 species
UACGUAGGGACCAAGCGUUGUUCGGAUUUACUGGGCGUAAAGGGCGCGUAGGCGGCAAUUCAAGUCAUCUGUGAAAUCUCCGGGCUUAACUCGGAAAGGUCAGGUGAUACUGCUUUGCUAGAGUGCGGAAGGGGCAAUCGGAAUUCUUGGUGUAGCGGUGAAAUGCGUAGAUAUCAAGAGGAACACCUGAGGUGAAGACGGGUUGCUGGGCCGACACUGACGCUGAAGCGCGAAAGCCAGGGGAGCAAACGGG